GGGCUUCACACGUCAUACAAUGGUGCAUACAGAGGGUUGCCAAGCCCCGAGGUGGAGCUAAUCCCAGAAAAUGCAUCGUAGUCCGGAUCGUAGUCUGCAACUCGACUACGUGAAGCUGGAAUCGCUAGUAAUCGCGGAUCAGCAUGCCGCGGUGAAUA
rnacentral:rRNA from 1 species